rnacentral:rRNA from 1 species
UACGAAGGGGGCUAGCGUUGUUCGGAAUUACUGGGCGUAAAGCGCACGUAGGCGGAUUUGUAAGUCAGGGGUGAAAUCCCGGGGCUCAACCUCGGAACUGCCCUCGAUACUGAUGAGCUCGAGUCCGGGAGAGGUGAGUGGAACUGCGAGUGUAGAGGUGAAAUUCGUAGAUAUUCGCAAGAACACCAGUGGCGAAGGCGGCUCACUGGCCCGGUACGGACGCUGAGGUGCGAAAGCGUGGGGAGCAAACAGG